UACGAAGGGGGCUAGCGUUGCUCGGAAUCAUUGGGCGUAAAGCGCACGUAGGCGGUUCGUUAUGUCGGAUGUGAAAGCCCUUGGCUUAACCGAGGAAGUGCAUCCGAAACUGGCGAGCUAGAGUACUAAAGAGGAUCGCGGAAUUCCCGGUGUAGAGGUGAAAUUCGUAGAUAUCGGGAGGAACACCGGUGGCGAAGGCGGCGAUCUGGACAGAGUCUGACGCUGAGGCGCGAAAGCUAGGGGAGCAAACAGG
rnacentral:rRNA from 1 species